rnacentral:misc_RNA from 1 species
GUUCUUGUAUCUUGAAUUGGUUUUUCUUAUCGGCCAGAACAUUAGGGAUUAUUGUGACUUUUGACCGUUGGUCUUUGAUUUGGGUUUGGCAAUUUUUGGUAGUUUAUAAUACUAAAACAAUCGAGGGUAAUACAAAGGUUCCUAUUUAUUUGUGGAUCAACAUUUUUCUAACUUUUCCCCAGAUUUCCUGUAAAAUUUUUCAUGAAUCUGCACAUUUUAAUGAUCCAAUGAUUCAUUUAUUUCUCUUCACUGAAUGCACUGUCCACAAUAUGAUAUCUUGAGAUGAGAUCAGCAUUGUGUUCAGUAUUUCUUUCGUUUGGUGUAGUCUAUCAUCAAUCAAAAGAACCUAGCUUUCAAGCAAUAUUACUGUGUCAGAAAUAAUAACCUUUAAUUGGAGCCCUGACACAAUCUUUUAUUGUAGUUUUGCUUUCUGAAAAAGAUGAUUUCAAGUCCCAACUGAGUGUCUCUCCCGGUACAUAUCACAAAUAUGCACUAGACAUGGAUAUCAAGUCCUAUUAGUUAAAGCACUUUGCUUCUCUGUAGGCCUCAAUUACUUACUGAAUUUAUUAAUAUUUGCUGUCUUGCUUGGAAAACUGGCCUCACUAUGAAAUAUUGCUUACCUUUGUUCUCACUUAUCACUGGAAGUAUGUUUUGGAUGAGUAAGUUAUCUGGUAAAUGGUAGCUGUUGCGCAUUUGAAAGUCUAUAACAAUGGUUCUUAAUUGGCAAUGACAUUUUUCCAGACACAGCCCCCUCCCCUGUCUUCCUAUAAAAGAAAUUAGUCCUAUUAUAUGAACUUGUUGAAAUUGGGAACUUUUACUUCUUUAUUCACAUCAUUAAGGAUAUUAGGUAUUAGGUACAAUUCCAUGAAUAGAGCAAGUGCCUGAUAAUGUAUUUUUAUGCCAUUAUGAACUUCUUGACGAAUGAAUGCAUAAAGUUUAGGAUUUUGGCUGCUGAAUCCCACUUAAGCAGCUCAAAACUUUGAAUUUUAAUAGUUGAUUUUAUUGUUUUUCUUUAGCUGGCACUCUCAAGAGUGUUGCUCACUCAUCUGUUUCCUUAUUUAACCCAUAUAUGGAUGAGCAUUCUACAGUUCAUAUGGUCCUAGUCUGGUCUGUUUGAAAAGUAAAUCAAUUGGUCUGUUUGUUGGCAUGCAUGGUGAUAUACUUGAAUGUUGAAUUUAAAGUAAAUCAAUUGGUCUGUUUGUUGGCAUGCAUGGUGAUAUACUUGAAUGUUGAAUUU